GGCUUGAGUUGGACUUGUAUCAGCGCUGCGUGGAACGGAGGAGCGACAUCAGGCUGACUGUAUCUUCUUCUCCUUCUUCUCUCCUCGCACUCGACUUAAGACAUCAUGUCCCGUUACGAUUCACAGGGUACAACCAUGGAUGAAAUGGACUUUGAGCGCCGCCGGGAGCUGAGAAGGCAGAAGCGGGAGGAGAUGCGCCUGGAAGCUGAACGGAUGUCUAAGAACGACGAUGACGAGGAGGAGGCGGCUCGUGAGAGGAGGCGCCGGGCUCGCCAGGAGAGAAUGAGGGCCAGGGAGCUUGAAGAAGCCGCCGCGCAGCCCGAAUGUCCGGUGGUCACCAACUGUUACAGCGUCACAGAAAGCGUCUCGCUAAGCAGCUCUUACGGCGGCAACUGCGAGGACGAAGACCAAGCACUUCUGGAGCGCAUGGCCAAGCGUGAGGAACGUAGGCAGCGUCGCCUGAAGGAGGCGCUGGAACGACAGAAGCAGUCGGAUGAGACGGAAGGCCAGGAUGUGAGCAGCGUGGAAAAGAGCAAGCCGGUGCAGGAGUACGGAGAAGAAGAGCAGAGGCCUCAGUACUCCUCCUGGCGUCGGGAGAAGAUGUAUAGCCUGGAAAGAGAAGAGAAGGAAGAGGAAGAGGUCAGACAGGAAGAGGAACCUGCUCCCGUGGUGGAGAAAGUGGAGGAGGAGAAGCCAAGGAGGUCUUACUUCAUAGAAGAGGAGCAAGCAGAAGAAGCAACUCAUUCAGUAGUCAAUAGAUAUGAGGCUGAGUCAGCAGAUAUAGUGGCUGAAGAGGCAACCGAGACCGCUUUUCUAGACUUCAGAACAUGUAGGGUUCUGAGAAAUGACAAUGCAGCGGACAUUGAGGUGUUUGAGAUGCUGUACUCAGAGGACAAAGAGGUAUCUGACGCGAUGAAUGAGCAAAGCUUUAGCAGGAACGAGAGGAAGCAAAACGGAAGCCUGUACGAUGAUGAGCAGCAGGGAGAGGAACAAGAGCAAGAAGAAGCUACCACCAUGCUGCACAGGAAAUAUGAGAGAAUGUCAAGCAGUCGAAGCAACGCGCGCUCCCCCGAGGCGUCGUUCGGCGACGAGCGGGACGAGGACACCGCCGUCCGCCUGGAGGCCGACCUCAAGCUGGAGGAGCUGAAGCGCCGACGCGACAACGCCGAAAGCGAGGAGUUCGAGCGCAUGCGGCAGAAGCAGCAGGAGGCCGAGGCGCAGCUGGAGGAGCUGAAAAGGAAGAGGGAGGAGAGGAAGAAGGUGCUGGAGGAGGAGGAGAGGCAGAGGAAGCAAGAGGAGGUCGAGAGGAGAGCCAGAGAGGAGGAGGAGAAGAGAAAGAUGAAAGAGGAGAUUGAGAGGAGGAGGGCCGAGGCGGCCGAGAGGCGGCAGAAAGUCGAGGAGCCCGUGGACGACGAAGGCAAGCCCUUCAAAUGCGUCAGCCCUCGCGGCUCCCCCCUCAAGAUUGGCGAGCGGGCCGAGUUUCUCAACAAGUCGGCACAGAAAAGCACAGCAAAGGCGUCCCCAUCCCAUGUGGUGUCCAAGAUUGACAACAGACUGGAGCAGUACACCUCUGCAGCUCAGCGAGAGACCAAGGACUUGCGAUGCCCUCGCUCGGCGGCCGUGGACAUCCCGGCGGCGACCGACAGCAUACGAAACAUCAAGAGCAUGUGGGAGAAAGGCAGUGUCUUCAGCGCGCCGGGAAACAGCGGCAGCAGCGCUUUCAAGGAAGCAACUGUGAUAAACCCAGGCGUGGCGGGCCGCAUCAACGACUGGCUGAAUAAAACCCCUGAGAGCGCCAAGUCGUCGGGAGGAAGGCCAUCGGACCUGAAACCUGUGGAUGUAACCAACAAGAGGAGUUUAUGGGAAAACAAAGGCUCUUCUGCAGCGAAGAAGUCAUAGCUAGUUGAUAUCAACUUUACAAUCUGGAAAAAUCCUGGCAAGGUGGCGGGAAGAAGCGAGACCAAAUCAUUCACGAACGGUAUGGGCCACUAAUGUGCUGAAGGAGUCCGGGCCACGACACUCCCAGACUUUGGCUUGAUGACCAAAUAACGACCACAAUCCCAAAGAGGGACCCCAGGAACAAAAGAAAAGAAAAAAAAAAAACGAGGGACACAUCUCCGCAUUGAACAAACAUCACUUUGUUUUUGUACAGUGGCCACUUUCGGUGCCUUUGCACGUUACUAUUUGCUUUCGAAAAGAAACCAAAUGCUGUGAAAAUUGGAUAUUAUGACUGAAAUUCAAGUAAAGUCGAGAGAGCAGAUUGACAGAUUUUCCCAGGGUGACAUCGCUCAUAAAAAUCAUUGUCUUUUUUUUUUUUAUAUUUAUAUUUAAAGCAAAAUCACUUAUUUUAUUCCAACCACUCCAGGAUAGAAAUAUAAGCACUUGUAGAAUUUAGCUCAAGUCACAAUUAUUAUGUCUUACAAUAGCACAGCAACAAUAUAUGGUCAUCAUACAGUAUCUUAUCUAACAUAUACUCUUAACGAAAACUAUUUUUUGCUUUAUAUUUUUUUUUUUGUAUCCAUGAACAUUCCAUCAACAGGCAGUGUUGACUAUACGAAAGGCCAUUAUGACUUUUUCUUCCUAUUUAUGUUUGUUUUUUGUCGCUUCGGACAUUCCUCUUUUAAGCCGGUGCACGUGAUGCCUUCAAUGUAGAGACAAAAGCCAAGCCGCCGUUUUAUAUCUUCUUUUAUGCUUUUACGCAAGCUCUAGUAGAAAUCAGGGUGCCUCCGCUAGUCCAAGGACGAGCCACUAUGUACUUUAUCAGGCCUUAGGAUUGCAACGAGAAGCCGAACGACCGCCGAGGCGGCGUCCGCGAACGCCUCGCAGCAAGAUUUUGAAUGAGGAUGUCUGUUAAUUGAUUUGUUCCUGCUCCCGACGGCAGACAAUCACAUUCCACGGCCCCUGAAAAAGAGCAGGAGGGGCCUCGACCAAAAUGUUUUCUAUUUUAUGUACGUUUUUUUUUUUUUUUUUACCUAUUGUCUGUUUGAUUUCCAUGUUUAACCCUAAACUUUGUGUCAGCGACAUAAUGCUUCAACACACACGAACACUUUGUUAUAUGUUAGUCUCUGUGAAGAACAUUCCCAAUGUUGAGCACGCUUCCAAGUGGAUGAAUGUUUUCCAAGCAUUGUACCACUCACACAACAACGGAAAUAAAAACAUUGAGAUUUGA